rnacentral:rRNA from 1 species
GACGAACGCUGGCGGCGUGCCUAAUACAUGCAAGUAGAACGCACAGUUUAUACCGUAGCUUGCUACACCAUAGACUCUGAGUUGUGAACGGGUGAGUAACGCGCAGGUAACCUGCCUGGUAGCGGGGGAUAACUAUUGGAAACGCUAGCUAAUACCGCAUAAUAUUAAUUAUUGCUUGAUAAUUAAUUGAAAGGUGCAAUUGCACCACUACCAGAUGGACCUGCGUUGUAUUAGCUAGUAGGGGAGGUAACGGCACACCUAGGCGACGAUACAUAGCCGACCUGGGAGGGUGAGCGGCCACGCUGGGACUGAGACACGGCCCAGAAUCCUGCGGGAGGCAGCAGUAGGGGAUCUUCGGCAAUGGACGAAAGUCUGACCGAGGAACGCCGGGUGAGUGAAGGAGGUUUUCGGGUCGUAAAGCUCUGUUAUAAGGGAAGAACGGGUGUGAGAGUGGAAAGUUCACACUGUGACGGUAUCUUACCAGAAAGGGACGGCUAACUACGUG